CCUACCUCUCUCUUCCGCUCUCUCUCCCUGCAGUCUGUCCCUUAUCCUCAGUCCUCAGCCUCCUCUGAACCCUUCUCUCUUCCUCCAUUCAAAUGUCGGCCACAGCUACUCCCACCUUCAAGCCUCUAUCGAUGGCGGACUCAUGCCUCCUUUCACUCCCUUCCAUCUUUGCCUCAAAACCUCCCUACCAAUGUCUCUCAAUCCCACCCAAACCCAUUAAGCUUCACCUCUCCUACUCCUCUCACUCCCUAUCGUCUCUCUCUCUCAAACCCAAAACCCAUUUCUCAUCAUUUAUCUCCUUUGUAGCUCAGACCUCUGAUUGGACCCAAAGAGAAGA
rnacentral:lncRNA from 1 species